UACAGAGGGUGCGAGCGUUAAUCGGAAUUACUGGGCGUAAAGCGCGCGUAGGCGGCUUUGCAAGUCGGGUGUGAAAUCCCCAGGCUUAACCUGGGAACUGCAUUCGAGACUGCAUUGCUAGAGUAUGGGAGAGGGAAGUGGAAUUUCCGGUGUAGCGGUGAAAUGCGUAGAUAUCGGAAGGAACAUCAGUGGCGAAAGCGACUUCCUGGAUCUCUUCUGACGCUGAGGCACGAAAGCUAGGGUAGCAAACGGG
rnacentral:rRNA from 1 species